AUUGAACGCUGGCGGCAGGCCUAACACAUGCAAGUCGAACGAGUGGCGUACGGGUGAGUAAUGUCUGGGAAACUUCCUGCUGGAGGGGGAUAACUACUGGAAACGGUCUCUAAUACCCCAUACCAUCAGAUGUGCCCAGAUGGGAUUACCUAGUUGGUGGGGUAACGGCUCACCAAGGCGACGAUCCCUAGCUGGUCUGAGAGGAGGACCAGCAAGACUGGAACUGAAACACGGUCAAGAAUCCUACGGGAGGCAGCAGGGGGGAAUAUUGCACAAUGGGGGCAAGCCUGAUGCAGAAAUGCGGCGUGUAUGAAGAAGGCCUGCGGGUUGAAAAGUACUUUCAGCGGGGAGGCGUUACCCGCAGAAGAAGCACCGGCUAACUCCGUGCCAGCAGCCGCGGUAAUUC
rnacentral:rRNA from 1 species